rnacentral:rRNA from 1 species
AUUGAACGCUGGCGGCAUGCCUUACACAUGCGAGUCGAACGGUAACAGGUCUUCGGAUGCUGACGAGUGGCGAACGGGUGAGUAAUACAUCGGAACGUGCCCAGACGUGGGGGAUAACGAGGCGAAAGCUUUGCUAAUACCGCAUACGAUCUAAGGAUGAAAGCAGGGGACCGCAAGGCCUUGCGCGUUUGGAGCGGCCGAUGGCAGAUUAGGUAGUUGGUGGGAUAAAAGCUUACCAAGCCGACGAUCUGUAGCUGGUCUGAGAGGACGACCAGCCACACUGGGACUGAGACACGGCCCAGACUCCUACGGGAGGCAGCAGUGGGGAAUUUUGGACAAUGGGCGAAAGCCUGAUCCAGCAAUGCCGCGUGCAGGAUGAAGGCCUUCGGGUUGUAAACUGCUUUUGUACGGAACGAAAAGGCUCUGGCUAAUACCUGGGGCACAUGACGGUACCGUAAGAAUAAGCACCGGCUAACUACGU